rnacentral:rRNA from 1 species
GAGUUUGAUCCUGGCUCAGAUUGAACGCUGGCGGCAUGCCUUACACAUGCAAGUCGAGCGGGGUUUUCGGACCUAGCGGCGGACGGGUGAGUAAUGCGUAGGAAGCUGCCCGAUAGAGGGGGAUACCAGUUGGAAACGACUGUUAAUACCGCAUAAUGUCUACGGACCAAAGUGUGGGACCUUCGGGCCACAUGCUAUCGGAUGCGCCUACGUGGGAUUAGCUAGUUGGUGAGGUAAUGGCUCACCAAGGCGACGAUCUCUAGCUGGUUUGAGAGGAUGAUCAGCCACACUGGAACUGAGACACGGUCCAGACUCCUACGGGAGGCAGCAGUGGGGAAUAUUGGACAAUGGGCGCAAGCCUGAUCCAGCCAUGCCGCGUGUGUGAAGAAGGCCUUCGGGUUGUAAAGCACUUUCAGCGAGGAGGAAGGGAUGUAUGUUAAUAGCAUGCAUUUUUGACGUUACUCGCAGAAGAAGCACCGGCUAACUCUGUGCCAGCAGCCGCGGUAAUACAGAGGGUGCAAGCGUU